rnacentral:lncRNA from 1 species
AGCAGUGCCAUGUGACAUGCCUGAAAGCCCUGCUUUGGUGAGUCAGCCCUGGAGUCACAGAGCUCAGGAGCCCAGGUUCCCCAGCUGCCUGGAUGGGAAACCAAACAGGGCUGAUGGACCUGCAUCCAGUUGUGUAUGUUGAUGAUCCAGCCUCCAGCCUCCAAAGGUGACUUACAUUGUUCAUUGAUUCUCCAAGAAAACUGACAUGAGUUACUGGUCUGUAAGGAAAUAAUAGGAGACCGCUUCCUUGGUAUGUAAGAACUGUUCUUCCAAACUCAUGUAUAAGACUGCGGAUUGGCUCUUCAACUGGCGAAAAUCACCAUUCUUCAGCUGAAGAAAAUGAAUCACCCAUUUUAAUGGCCAUAAGGAAUGUGGCACUCACAGAUCAACAAAGAUGCUACUGUCCUUUCUGCAGCAAUGCCCAGCCACCAUUUCCUUGCUGGUCUUGGAAAUCAAACUCCACAACAUGGGUACUGAGAAAAUGCUGGAAGAUGAGAGGACAGCAAGCUCUAUCUGUUCACACACAGUGGAGAGAGAUCAGAGAGCCAAAAGGUGGCAGAAGAGGAAAGCUGAUUGCUGGUCUCAUGCUGUGUCUGCAGACAACGAUGUUCUCGGAAGAAAAGUUUUCCUGUGACUUCUGUGAAAAGAGGAUGGCACCCACAAACACUGGCUUAAAGUCCUGUACAGAGCUUUAAAA